UGCCUACGGGGGGCAGCAGUAGGGAAUAUUGCUCAAUGGGGGAAACCCUGAAGCAGCAACGCCGCGUGGAGGAUGAAGGUUUUCGGAUUGUAAACUCCUUUUGUUAGAGAAGAUAAUGACGGUAUCUAACGAAUAAGCACCGGCUAACUACGUGCCAGCAGCCGCGGUAAUACGGAGGGUGCAAGCGUUACUCGGAAUCACUGGGCGUAAAGAGCGCGUAGGCGGGAUAGCAAGUCAGAUGUGAAAUCCUAUGGCUUAACCGAAGAACUGCAAUUAAAACUGAUAUUCUAGAGUACUGGAGAGGG
rnacentral:rRNA from 1 species